GUGCUCUCUUCAGCAGCACACAUACUAAAAUUGGAAUGAUACAGAGAUUAAGCAUGGCCCAUGCACGAGAAUGACACAAAUUUGUGAAGUGUUCCAUAUAUUA
rnacentral:snRNA from 1 species